UACGUAGGGUGCGAGCGUUAAUCGGAAUACUGGGCGUAAAGCGUGCGCAGGCGGUUAUUUAAGUCAGGUGUGAAAGCCCUGGGCUUAACCUAGGAAUUGCGCUUGAGACUGGAUAGCUUGGAGUGCGGCAGAGGGAGGUGGAAUUCCACGUGUAGCAGUGAAAUGCGUAGAGAUGUGGAGGAACACCGAUGGCGAAGGCAGCCUCCUGGGCCAGCACUGACGCUCAUGCACGAAAGCGUGGGGAGCAAACAGG
rnacentral:rRNA from 1 species